AGCCCACUUCGGUCACAAUGUCCUGAAACUAACACACCCAUUUGUCAUUCCUACCCCAAGACGUGUGUAUUCUGACGUUGCAGUUGCUUUGAGAGUUGAGACCUCCGUCUCUGGGCUUUCACUCACCCUCCUCCUUUCUCCCACAAUGGCCUCUCCACUCUUAACUCCAAGCCCUCCUUGUUGAAAUUCUUCCUAUGUUAAGACACAUUUGAAUGAUGUCACUUCUUUGGCAAAGCCUCUGAUCCCAUCAGCUCGAUGUUCAUUUAUUUAGCAGAUACUUAGUGAACAUCGCUCAAGUGAGAGGCACUGCCUUAGUCCUGGAAGACCUAGGGUUAAAGAAAUGGAUGAAUUCUCUCGUCUUGUGGAAUUUGCCUUCUAGCUGAAGGAGGCGAUAGUAAAGAAAGUAAAACUUUUAAAAUCCCCACUUGUGAUAACAGCUGUGUGGAAAAGAGCGUAUUGUGACAAAGGGAGCUGGACUGCCUUAGUUUGGACAGAGGCUUUUUUGCACAGGUAACACACGGACUGACACCUGAAGGCAUGAACGGGUGCACUUUCGUUGGUCUGGAGCUCACAACGUGUUUGUACCGUCUGUAAAAUACUUCCCAUCAUCUAUAUGAUAUUUGUUUUCCUUCUACCUCCUUGGCCAAUCUGUUAGAUGAUGAGGGUUUUUUUUUUUUUUAAAGUGAAAGCACUAUGUUUUCUUUAAUUUUUAAUUAUGAUAUUUAAACAGUUAAUGCCCAACAGAGUGCCUGACACUUAGUAGAGGCUUAAUAAGUGGAAACUUAGCUUACUGAACACACACACACAUAGACACACACAUACACACACACACACAGAAUCAUGGCCUCGUGCCUGGCUUGACAGAGAGUCAGUUUCUCUGGCACAGCACACUGAGAGCCAUUUCACUUCUUCCAUAUGUCACUCUGAGCACACAGAUGACCCAGGGGGUUUUCUUGGCAGCCAAGCACUUUUCCUCGUGUAAUUUAGUAGCUCGGGUUUAUGCUUAAGAGAAUGGCAUAAAAUCCAUUCUCCUGCGGAGCAUGGCAUCUUGUCAAAGAGAGGGUACAGAGCAGACGGGACUGCUCUUGCUCUGUCAGUACAGCCCCGGCCAGUUUCUGGAGGAGUGAGCGUCGAAAGCCGUAUGCGACUUCACAUCCUCGCCAUUACAAGGCCAGUGGCGUGGUGCUAUUUUUAUCAUUGUUAUGGCUGUUAGGAGUAUUAUUGUUUCAUUCCUACGCAGAGCCCUUAACAUGUCAUUUCUUUUAAUUCUGCUCACAACCUUCUGAGAUCAGUCCUGUCACUACCUCCAUUUGCCACAUGAAGAGCAGAAGUUCAUGAACUUAAACCUGCCUAGGAGUUCCUAUUGUGGCGCAGCAGGUUAAGGACCCAUCCAGUCAUGUCUCUGUGAGGAUGCAGGUUCCAUCCCUGGCCUCACUCAGUGGGUUAUGGAUCUGGCACCGGUGAGGCUAUGGCUCUGAUAUGACCCCUAGCCUUGGAACUUUCAUGUGCUGCAGAGCCCUCCUGGGGAGUCUGAUUCCAAGCCCAUGUGUGACAUCCCGACUCUAAGACAGACACCAGUUAUCAUGGCAGUGCUUCUCCUGCCAAAGUCAGGGAACAUUUGCCAGGCCUUCCUUCCCCGUGUGGUCCUGAGUUAGGGCCACCAGUGGAAGUGUGAGAGAUUUGGGGAGUGGGAGUGAAGCGGAGGCCGUCCUCUCAGAGGAAGGAUGGUCAGGCACGAUGCCCAGUGCCGCCCAGGUACCUGGGGAGCCCCAGCCUGCCCUGCUGUCUCCCAGUUUCCCUGUGCUUCAUCUGCUGGAGUAACCUCAGGCCCACUCCCAGGUGCGUGGCCACAGGCUUCAGUGAGUUCCAAGGGGCAACGACUGAGCAGGAGCAGGAGUUGCCCAGCUCUCUCCAGGAGCUCCCCCUCAUAGCCCCAUGUUGACAGCCAUGUGCACAAGCUUCUAGUAUUUUCAAGCUCUGACUUGCCCAUCCUCACAGGCACAUCAGGUGGGUGUGGCUCUUGACUCUGCUUCUCCAAUGCCUACCUGAAGGUUUUCACUUUUCUGUGUCACUGUUUGUAUAAACAAUAAUUCUUCUAUCAAACCCCUUAUUCUCAUAAUACUUGGAAAGGCUCUGUCUUCAUGAUGGACACACAUGUGAAACAGAAAUGGUGGCGUUCCCAUUGUGGCUCGGUGGAAACAAAUCCAAGUAGUAUCCAUAAGGAUGCAGGUUCAAACCCUGACCUUGCUCGGUGGGUUAAGGAUUGGGAAUUGCAGUGAGCUGUGGUGUAGAUCAGAGACACGGUUCAGAUCCCAUGUUGCUGUGGCUGUGGUGUAGGCCAGCAGCUGUAGCUCUGCUUAGACCCCUAGCCUGGGAACUUCCAUGUGCUACAAAUGCAGCCCUAAAAAG
rnacentral:lncRNA from 1 species